GACGAACGCUGGCGGCGUGCUUAACACAUGCAAGUCGAACGGAAAGGCCCUGCUUUUGUGGGGUGCUCGAGUGGCGAACGGGUGAGUAACACGUGAGUAACCUGCCCUUGACUUUGGGAUAACUUCAGGAAACUGGGGCUAAUACCGGAUAGGAGCUCCUGCUGCAUGGUGGGGGUUGGAAAGUUUCGGCGGUUGGGGAUGGACUCGCGGCUUAUCAGCUUGUUGGUGGGGUAGUGGCUUACCAGGGCUUUGACGGGUAGCCGGCCUGAGAGGGUGACCGGCGACAAUGGGACUGAGAUACGGCGCAGACUCCUACGGGAGGCAGCAGUGGGGAAUAUUGCACAAUGGGCGGAAGCCUGAUGUAGCAACGCCGCGUGCGGGAUGAUGGGCUUCGGGUUGUAAACCGCUGUCGCCUGUGACGAAGCGUGAGUGACGGUAAUGGGUAAAGAAGCACCGGCUAACUACGUG
rnacentral:rRNA from 1 species